rnacentral:sRNA from 1 species
GUGCUGGAGAAUCUGGUAAAAGCACCAUUGUGAAGCAGAUGAGGAUCCUGCAUGUUAAUGGGUUUAAUGGAGACAGUGAGAAGGCAACCAAAGUGCAGGACAUCAAAAACAACCUGAAAGAGGCGAUUGAAACCAUUGUGGCCGCCAUGAGCAACCUGGUGCCCCCCGUGGAGCUGGCCAACCCCGAGAACCAGUUCAGAGUGGACUACAUUCUGAGUGUGAUGAACGUGCCUG